rnacentral:lncRNA from 1 species
CCACCACAACAAAUAAGUAAUAGUGAUAAAACCAACUACCUCAGUCUCAAUUGCUGGGUAAGAUUUUUUUUUUUUUUAGAUCCAUUUACAGAGGGCCUGGUAUUAAAGCAACACACACAUGUGGCAGGAUCAAGCCAGUGCUACUCACUUGUCAUCUAGAAGAGUGGUUCUCAAGUUGGCUAUACACGAGAGAAUACCUGGGCCCACACGCCAGAACAAUUGAAUCAAAAUCUCUAGGGGUAAGAGUGGGAGAGGGUGAGAUGGGACCCAGGCCUUUUGUCCAUUUUUAAAUCAGGUUCUUUUCAAUCCUCGGGUUGUGUU